GACAUCAAAACUAUGAAAUAACACAUAUGGAAUCAUGUAGUAACCAAAAAAGUGUUUAAACAAAUAAAAAUUGAUUUUAUAUUUAGAUUCUUCAAAGUAGCCACCCUUUGCCUUGAUGACAGCUUUGCACACUCUUGGCGUUCUCUCAACCAGCUUCAUGAGGAAUGCUUUUCCAACAGUCUUGAAGGAGUUCCCACAUAUGCUGAGCACUUGGGUUGAGGUCGGGUAUUGUGGAGGCCAGGACAUCUGAUGUAGCACUCCAUCACUCUCCAUCUUGGUCAAAUAGCCUGUACACAGCCUGGAGGUGUGUUUUGGGUCAUUGUCCUGUUGAAAAACAAAGGAUAGUCCCACUAAGCGCAAACCAGAUGGGAUGGCGUAUCUCUGCAGAAUGCUGUGGUAGCCAUGCUGGUUAAGUGUGCAUUGAAUUCUAAAUAAAUCACAGACAGUGUCACCAGCAAAGCACCACCACACCAUCACACCUCCUCCUCCAUGCUUCAUGGUGGACACCACACAUGCGGAGGUCAUCCGUUCACCUACUCUGCAUCUCACAAAGACACAGCGGUUGGAACCAAAAAUCUCAAAUUUGGACUCAUCAGACAAAUGGACAGAUUUCCACCAGUCUAAUGUCCAUUGCUCGUGUUUCUUCGCCCAAGCACAUCUUUUCUUUUUAUUGGUGUCCUUUAGUAGUGUUUUCUUUGCAGCUAUUUGACCAUGAAGGCCUGAUUCACGCAGUCUCCUCUGAACAGUAGAGAAUGUUGAGAUGUGUCUGUUACUUGAACUCUGUGAAGCAUUUAUUUGGGUUGCAAUUUCUGAGGCUGGUAACUCUAAUGAAUUUAUCCCCUGCAGCAGAGGAAACUCUGGGUCUUCCUUUCCUGUGGCGGUCCUCAUGAGAGCCAGUUUCAUCAUAGCGCUUGAUGGUUUUUGCGACUGCACUUGAAGAAACUUUCAAAGUUCUAGAAAUGUUCCGUAUUGACUGACAUUCAUGUCUUGAAGUAAUGAUGGUCUGCCGUUUCUCUUUGUUUAUUUGAGCUGUUCUUGACAUAAUAUGGACUUGGUCUUUCACCAAAUAGGUCUGUAUGCCACUCCUACCUUGUCACAACACAACUGAUUGGCUCAAACGCAUUAAGUAGGAAAGAAAUUCCACAAAUGAACUUUUAACAAGUCACACCUGUUAAUUGAAAUGCAUUCCAGGUGACUACUUCAUGAAGCUGGUUGUGAGAUGCCAAAAGUGAGCAAAGCUGUCAUUAAGGGUGGCUACAUUGAAGAAUCUCAAAUACAAAAUAUACUUCGAUUUUUUUUAAAUACUUUUUUUGGUUACUACAUGGUUCGAUAUGUGUUAUUUCAUAGUUCUGAUAUCUUAACUAUUAUUCUACAAUGUAGAAACAAAAUAAAAAAUAAGACCCCUUGAAUGAGUAGGUGUGUCCAAACUUUUGACUGGUACUGUAUUCAUCACAAAAAUAUAUAUUUUUUUAGUUGAUGCUGCCUAAUUAUUUGCCUUAUUUUACUCUACUUGUAUUUCUGGAGUAGUUCUUACCAAAACCCUUUUCCUAUUUCAGUGCAGGCAACGCAAGCCAAUGUUUAUGCCGGCCUGACAACAUUUGACAUGGCAGAUAUCUUUGGACCAGCAGAGGAGGUUUUUGGACACUUCAACAGGUGAAAUUGAAACCCAGCGGUGUAACCCUUCAUGGUUUGACUAAAUGGGUGCCUCGACCUGGACCAAUGGACCGCAAGCCGGUGGUCUACUCUCAGAGCGCUAUCUAGAGAAGGCAGAGCCUACAAGCAGGGCAGAGCUCAACACCGCCUCCCUCAGUAAGUACAAGAACGUGAUUGACAGCUGUGGAGGAUGGGGGCUGUUCCAGGAGCUGCUGGUUGCCUUGGAGAUGGUCGCCAGGGGCCACGGCUGCUCCAUCGCCAACGUGGCUACCCACUAUGUCCUGGACCGGCCUGCUGUGGGUGGAGUCAUCGUGGGCUGUCAUCUCGGUGUUGCCGGGGCAGAACACAGAGGACAGCCUCCACGGCUGCAGCCCAGAAUUGGAACUCACGGCGCAAGACCUGCGCACCAUCGAUGGUGUGGUGCAGCGCUCGCGUGACCUCAUGAGCCUCAUCGGAGACUGGAGACGAGUACAGGAACUAGAGGAGAAUGGAGAGGAUGGACCAGAUCUCACCCAUCUACACACAAUACCCCAUGACAAAUUGAAAACAUGUUUUUAGAAAUGUUAGUAAAUUUAUUGAAAAUGAAAUACUAAUAUCUAAUUUACAUAAGUAUUCACACCCCUGAGUCAAUAAAUGUUAUAAUUUUUUUAACCUUUACUUAACGAGGCAAGUCGGUUAGGAACAAUUUCUUAUUUACAAUGACGGCCUACCAUGGCCAAAUCUUUGGCAGCGAUUCCAGCUGUGAGUCUUCUGGGUAAGUCUCUAAGACAUUUGCACACCUGGAUUGUACAAUAUUUGCACAGUAUUCUUUGUAAAAUUCGUCAAGCUCCGUCAAGUUGGUUGUUGAUCAUUCCAAGACAGCCAUUUAAGUCUAGCCAUAGAUUUCCAAGGCCAUUUUAAGUCAAAACUGUACCUAGGCCUCUCAGGAAAAUUCAAUGUAAUCUUGUUAAGUGUAUAUUUGGCCUUGUGUUUUAGGCUAUUGUCCUGCUGAAAGUUGAUUUUUUUUUUUUUAGGAUAAAAAGAAAUGGAAUAAAACUCCCGAGUCUUUGUUGAUGACAGGCAUAACCAUAACAUGAUGCAGCCAGCAUGUGUGAAAAUAUGAAGAGUGGUACUCAGUGAUUUGCCCCAAACAUACAACACUUUGUAUUCAGGGCAUAGUUAAUUUCUUUGCCAAACAUGUUGCAGUUUUACUUUAGUGCCUUAUUGCAAACAGGAUGCAUGUUUUGGAAUUUUUGUAUUCUGUACGGGCUUCCUUCUUUUCACUGUCAUUUAGGUUAGUAUUGUGGGGUAACUACAAUGUUGUUGAUCCAUCCUCAGUUUCUCCUAUCACAGCCAUUAAAAUCUGAAACUGUAUUAAAGUCACCAUUGGCCUCCAGGUGAAAUCCCUGAGCAGUUUCCUUCAUCUCCGGCUACUGAGUUAGGAAGGACACCUGUAACUUUGUAGUGACCGGGUGUAUUGAUACACCAUCCAAAGUGUAAUUAAUAACUUCACCAUGCUCAAAGGGAUAUUCAAUGUCUGCUUAUUUAAUUACAUUCUUUACCCAUCUACCAAUAGGUACCACCCUUUGCGAGACAUUGGAAAACCUCCCUGGUCUUUGUGGUUGAAUCUGUGUUUGAAAUUCACUGCUCGACUGAGCAACCUUAAAUAUGAUUGUAUGUGUGGGGUACAGAGAUGAGGUAGUCAUUCAAAAAUCAUGUUAAACACUAUUAUUGCAACUUAUUAUGUGACUUGUUCAGCACAUUUUUAUUGCUGAACUUAUUUAGGCUUGCCAUAACAAAGGGGUUGAAUACUUAUUGACUCAAGACAUUUCAGCUUUUCAUUUUGUAUUCAUUUCUAAACAUUUCCAAAAACAUCAUUCCACUUUGACUUAAUGGGGUAUUGUGUGUAGGCCAGUGACACAAAAUCUCCACGUGAUCCAUUUUAAAUUCAG
ensembl:lncRNA